rnacentral:rRNA from 1 species
UACGUAGGGGGCUAGCGUUGUUCGGAAUCAUUGGGCGUAAAGAGCGUGUAGGCGGCCCGGUAAGUCCGCUGUGAAAGUCGGGGGCUCAACCCUCGAAUGCCGGUGGAUACUGUCGGGCUAGAGUGCGGAAGAGGCGAGUGGAAUUCCUGGUGUAGCGGUGAAAUGCGCAGAUAUCAGGAGGAACACCGAUUGCGAAGGCAGCUCGCUGGGACGGUACUGACGCUGAGACGCGAAAGCGUGGGGAGCAAACAGG